UGGUAUUUUGAGCAUAUUGGGAGUUCUAGAGAUCAGAAUGGAGUGAUUCUUAUGGGUUUCUUCUUGAAUUAAUAUGAGGGUUAGUAUUCAAUCUUCAAUUCGACAUUUUCUCAUAAUUUCUUUAUCUGAUUUUUUUCCUAUCCGUAAAUCUCUUGGGAAAAAUUGGGGUUUUAUCUAUUUGGACUCCCUUUUUGAUAAAAAGGUAUAUUUACGAUCCUUAUGUUAUGGGCAAACUGAGAUUAACAUAAAAUUAUUGAUUCAUCGAUUAUUUUCACCAUAUUAACCGCGUACAAUUUGGACUUUCUCGGUAAAGUUAAAGUUUGAUAAAUUGAGAAUUUCAAGGUCGAUCUUAACUCUGUUUUUGAUGAAAUUUCAUAUUUGAACUUAUCUAAGCACGGGUAAGAUGUUUUUCAAGAGAUAUUUCAUUUUCGAGUCGGGGUUUGAAAUCCGAAUAUUUUAGGCUUCUUCAAGAACGUGGAUCUUCCUUCAAAUUGAGUUUGUGAACUCAUUUCAACUCCUUUUUCGAAACGGUUUUCACUAUUGGAUUCUAAAUUUCUUGGGGAACAUUUUUCACUAAAAAUUUCCAGAUUUCGAGAAUAUUUUCCGGAACGAGAUUUUUGACCAUUUUACCCUUGUUCUCCAAAUUUCACGAUAUUGGUGUUGUUAGAUUCGUAUUGAUUGUGGGAUUCCAUUUAUGAAUAGAUUGUGGUGAUUUGGAGCGUGCUCGGAAGGGUAAAACUCAAAUUUGAGUUACUAGUUGAAGUGUUUUGAGGCAAGUGACUUCUAAACUUUGUUAAACUCUUAGACUACGCAUGACUACUUUCCUAAUUGUGUUGGGGAGUAAUGGGGAUUGAGGAUGAGUUUUAUUUGUUGAUUGAAAUUGUUGUAAAUGAAAGAUGGGGAAAUAAAACGAGCUAAAUGUGUUAUAUGUGACUUGAAUUUGUUGAAUAAGUCAUGUGAUAACUCAUAUUGAGGGGAUAGAAGAGCAUGAGUAGGCUAUGAUUGAUACAGACAUUGAUGUUGAAACAGAUGAUGUGUAAUACUAUGAUGUGGCCGUGAUAUGGUUGUGAUUGAGACAUAUGAUGUGUAAUACUAUGAUGUGGCCGUGAUAUGGUUGUGAUUGAGACAUAUGAUGUGUAAUACUAUGAUGUGGCCGUGAUAUGGUUGUGAUUGAGACAUAUGAUGUGUAAUACUAUGAUGUGGCCGUGAUAUGGUUGUGAUUGAGACAUAUGAUGUGUAAUACUAUGAUGUGGCCGUGAUAUGGUUGUGAUUGAGACAGAUGAUGUGUAAUACUAUGAUGUGGCCGUGAUAUGGUUGUGAUUGAGACAGAUGAUGUGUAAUACUAUGAUGUGAUCGUGAUAUGAUUGUGAUUGAUGACAUGUGCAUAUUCAUUAUUCAUCCCAUGUGUGAACUAUCUGUUGCAUGAGUUCUGAGACACUGAUAUGAGGAUGGAUGGAUAUGAGACACAGUUGAGACUAGCUCCGGCUAGCGAUUUGGAUGCCGAUGGGAUCUGGUUCCGGCGGUGAUACAUGGUCCAUGUGUGGCCCCCAUGGGUUCUGAUUUGAGUAUUCAGCGCGGACUGAUUACGUCAACAGAUGUGUAUCGUAGGACAGACAUGCAUCACGACUACAUGACAUCAUUAUUGCAUUUUGCAUCGCAUUUGCCUUAUCUUUGUCUGUGAUGUGUGGAUUGUAUCGGUUUACCCUUCUUAUGUGGAAUUUGAUCUACUUGCUCUUAUUUGUUGAUCUGAGGUUGAUGAGGAUAUACUGUUGGUUCUGGCUGUUGAAUAUGAUCUGUUUAGUAUAGGUUGGUUGGUUUGCUGCUAGAUUGAAGUUUCGGUGGUUCGGUUGGGAUUGAAAGAAGUUGUUUGUAGCUGCUAGUUUAGCUUAGUUUAGUGUUACUUGCGAGUACCUGUGGUUUUCGGUACUCACCCUUGCUUCUACACAAUUGUGUAGGUUGACAGCUCUCUCAGAUUCGGCUUAGUAUUUUCUUUAGCAGAUUGAGCUUCGGGACAUACUCGAGAGGUAGCGGUUCAUUCCAGACGUGCCCUUGAGUUAUCUUUACUUUCAGUUUUGUUCUAUUCGAGAACUAUACUCUGAGACUUGUAUAUUUUUAUUCGAAUUCUGUAUUUAGAGGUUUGUACAUGUGAC
rnacentral:lncRNA from 1 species